GCCUCGCCCACUACCUCAUUCAACCAUCGCCACUCUAGGAAUUGCGAAGCGACUUCUCUACUUGGCGGCUCGCUGAUGCGCCGCCAAGUAGAGCUCGCAUUGCAGUGAGAGGAGCCACACAGAGCCGUUAUCGUCGCAAGUUUCGCCACAACUUUUUCAUUUUGGGAGAGCUGGUUGCACUUUCCUGUAGUUCACAUCAUUGUUGUUCUUCCCCACCAGUUACCUGUCUCGUCGCCUUCGCGGACUUGUCUUCACGUUCUCCUCUCAGUUGAUGAGUAACGAGCGGUUCAGUGUGUGGUCUUUGCAACAAGCUUUUUGAGAUGUCGAAUGUUUUGCAUGUGAGGGAUCAAAUGCUGAACAAGUUUUAUCAUGCGGGAGAAGAGUGUAACCGUGCUGCGCUUGCCUGCGUUGGUGCCCUAGCUGCCUUUGACACUGCUGAGUCAUUUAACAUUGCUUCCGGCCUCGACAUAAAUCCCCACAACAAGACCCACUCACAAGAGUCUACAUGUGUUUGGAGUUGCCUUUGAUAAAAUCGAUUGAGGUGGAAACUGGAGUUACGACAUUACUCAUGAAACAGCAUGAGACUGGGCUGAUGGGAGAGCCUGCCAUAUUGCUAGGAGAAGUGGCAAUGGCUGAUGCUGAAGAUAAGGACUGGGCCCAGGAAGUGUGCUGCAUGAAGGGCAUUCAUGUCAGUUGUCUACUUGGGCUCCUUUCACUCCUGCUAGACACUCGACAGACCUAAGACUUGAUCACAAGUCAUUGCAGUUUGAGAUAUAGUCAGCUGUUGGAUUACCAUCGGGAAGAUUUCUCCAUGCUAAGCCUAAUUACGAAUGUGGGUGGACAUGGGAAAUGAUUCUCAGCUGGUCAGAAUGUUGCUCGGAGAGUCUCUACAAUGCGCAUGUGACCAUACAACUAAAUUCAUGAUACACUUUGCUACAGUUCUGUUACUGUUGCGAGUCCUUUUACAGUAUAUCGGGAGUUGAGCUGGUUUCAAAAUCGCCGUAGUCUAUACAGAAAGGACAUUUUAUGAGCUGGUAAGGGGAAUAUCUUGUCAUUCUUGACAGAACCUCACCAAUAGGGAUUAGACGUUUCCUGCUCAUGCACCCGAAAUGCCAUCCUCGAUUGAAUGAGGUUGGCUGUUCUACUCUCCUGAAACUUAUGAAGGGUUUGUUUGUAGUGUUCCAAAAAACAAAAAAAUUAUUGCAAUCCUUCGUCAUAGACAAAUCGGAGCAUCUUAUAAUUUACAAUUUUAUCUGAAGAGCUUGAAUCCCUUUA